UACGUAGGGUGCAAGCGUUGCUCGGAAUCACUGGGCGUAAAGGGCGCGUAGGCGGCCAUUUAAGUCGGGGGUGAAAGCCUGUGGCUCAACCACAGAAUUGCCUUCGAUACUGGAUGGCUUGAGUUCGGUAGAGGUUGGUGGAACUGCGAGUGUAGAGGUGAAAUUCGUAGAUAUUCGCAAGAACACCGGUGGCGAAGGCGGCCAACUGGACCGACACUGACGCUGAGGCGCGAAAGCGUGGGGAGCAAACAGG
rnacentral:rRNA from 1 species